GGGUUGAUAUUCAUGGAAUUCUUCUUCUGAGAACUUUGAUUGGAAAGAUAUUUGGCAGCAUUGGAUCAGUAGGAGGAGGCCUUGCUUUAGGUAAAGAGGGUCCUCUUGUCCAUACUAGUGCUUGUAUUGCUUCUUUGCUUGGACAAGGUGGUUCCACUAAGUAUCCUAUAAAUUCAAGAUGGUUUCAAGUAUUCAAAAGUGAUCGAGAUCGC